rnacentral:rRNA from 1 species
GUGCCAGCCGCCGCGGUAAUACGUAGGUGGCAAGCGUUAUCCGGAAUUAUUGGGCGUAAAGCGCGCGUAGGCGGUUUUUUAAGUCUGAUGUGAAAGCCCACGGCUCAACCGUGGAGGGUCAUUGGAAACUGGAAAACUUGAGUGCAGAAGAGGAAAGUGGAAUUCCAUGUGUAGCGGUGAAAUGCGCAGAGAUAUGGAGGAACACCAGUGGCGAAGGCGACUUUCUGGUCUGUAACUGGCGCUGAUGUGCGAAAGCGUGGGGAUCAAA